CCUGCCCGCAACAGGGGGAUAACCCGGCGAAAGUCGGACUAAUACCGCAUAAAACAGGGGUCCCGCAUGGGAAUAUUUGUUAAAGAUUUAUCGGUUGCGGAUGGGCAUGCGUACCAUUAGGUAGUUGGUGAGGUAACGGCUCACCAAGCCUUCGAUGGUUAGGGGUUCUGAGAGGAAGGUCCCCCACACUGGUACUGAGACACGGACCAGACUCCUACGGGAGGCAGCAGUGAGGAAUAUUGGUCAAUGGGCGAGAGCCUGAACCAGCCAAGUCGCGUGAAGGAUGACUGCCCUAUGGGUUGUAAACUUCUUUUACAAGGGAAUAAAAUGAGAUACGUGUAUUUUAUUGCAUGUACCUUGGGAAUAAGCAUCGGCUAACUCCGUGCCAGCAGCCGCGGUAAUACGGAGGAUGCGAGCGUUAUCCGGAUUUAUUGGGUUUAAAGGGUGCGUAGGUGGGCURUUAAGUCAGCGGUGAAAGUUUGUCGCUUAACGAUAAAAUUGCCGUUGAAACUGGUAGUCUUGAGUAUAGAUGAAGUAGGCGGAAUGCGUGGUGUAGCGGUGAAAUGCAUAGAGAUCACGCAGAACUCCGAUUGCGAAGGCAGCUUACUAAGGUAUAACUG
rnacentral:rRNA from 1 species